rnacentral:tRNA from 1 species
GCUCUUAUGGCGGAAUAGGCAGACGCGGUAGACUCAAAAUCUAUUGUAGAGAUACGUACUGGUUCAAGUCCAGUUAAGAGUA